AUCUCACUUACUCCUUAACACCUUAUGAAGGAAAGCUACCCUUAGCUCCAUUUUACAAAGGAAACUAAAUCAGCAAGUCAGUUUCUAGAAGGCCAUGGGAGUAAACAGAAGCAUGAAGAAUGAAUCCUCAGUGCAUCUAGGAAGAGUGCCCAGGUCUUAACCUCUACCUUAUUCUCAACCAGGGCCCGUGUACCCCUAUUCCGGCCUGCUUCUGGUGCUGGGCCUCCAAGACCCAGAAAUGACUGAUGAGGUUUGUGAUCGCUCAGGGCUUAGAGUCUAAUGGGGAAGCUGGCUCGUUGAUAACAUCUGAAAUGGCUUGGUCUGCGCCCUAACGGGGGUACGCUUGGCGUGCUGUAGGGGUUUAGAGGAGGGUGUGAGUCACUGCUUCAUCCAGGUGCUUUGUGCGGCUCCCGGAGGGACGGGAUACACGGCAGGGCUGGAGUUCGCCAGGGACGCGGGUCUGCGCAGGGGAGGCAGGAGAUGCGAAUCUCACCCCUCACUACCCUAGGAAGGGGGAAACUGACGCCCAGAGGGGCUGGGCUACAGUCCCUCUGAACCCCGCCCAGGACUCACUCCCCCGCCGCCCCCUGCCCAGCUGGCUCUUUCCGAGCCCCUUGGGUUCUCCCCCUCCUACCGCGCGCGGCUUCCGACCCUGCAGCCGACUUCAGACGCUCGGAGGCCCCGCAGCCGCCGGCUCCCAGGCCCUGCUCCGCCGCCGGCCUCCUGGCCCCGCCCCCGGCGCCUCGCCUCGCCAUUGGGUGGUUCGCCAUCCUCGUCGUGGCGGAUUGGCUUCCCCAACCUGUCCGCCCCUCGUACUUCCGGGUUUUCGCGUCAGCUCCUGCUUCCCCGGGAAAGAUGCGCCGUGGGCCACUCCCAUUGGCCGGCUCCAGUGUUGGUCUCGUGCCCGCAGCGGCCAAUAAGCAACAGGCGGGGCGGUGCCCGGGCGAGAGGCGGGAGUAGCGCGCGGAAAACCCGCGCGGGCGCGGAGAUCUGCGGGUAUGAUAGAUGCCGCGGUCGGAAACUGUAAAAUGGGGACAGUGUGAUGACAGUACUUCAUAGAGUUUUAUGUGAGGGCGAAGUGAGAUCCUACAUGUCUGGCACAAAGCUGACGUUUGGUCUCAGCCUGAUCCAGUUGAGGGAAGCCACUGACCUACAGCACAAAGGAAGUGUCCCAACCCAGGCCAGAGCUCCCGGCCCUUGGCAUGGAGAACGGCACAUAGCAAAUGCUCAGGAGAUUUUGUUGACUCAAAUAAGAGAUAUCUAAAACAGGACAAACCAUGGUGUUUUUAAGGAACGAAAAAAAUCAAGACGAUGGUUAUUUCUGGGGCUUCUUGUUUCUAUCUUUUUUUUUUUUUUUCUUUUUAAAAUGUAUUUAUUUUGAGAGAAUGUGAGCAGGGGAGGGGCAUAGAGAGGGAGACAAGAAUCCCAAGCAGGCUCCACACUCAGUGCGGAGCCUGACACGGGGCUCGAUCCCACGAUGGUGAGAUCAUGACCUGAGCUGAGAUCAAGAGUCAGUUGCUCAACCGACCGAGCCACCCAGGGGCCCCGUAUUGUUUCUGUCUUUUGAACGAAGGUCUUGAACACGGUUCCCUUGAAGUGCCCUGAAUUUUCACUUCUGAUGGCCUGCAUAGUAAUGUUGUAAAAACUUUUCCCAGAGGAGGGCCAGGCUGCCCUGCUACCACUGAAUUAUGGAGGAUGGUCAGUGGAGGGGAAAGCAGUGAGGCUCGGGGGCCAGACAGAUAAUGUGUUCAAAUGCAAGGCCUACCUGGACUAGGUCACUCACCACACUGAAAUGGAUAUCAUGGGGCUUGUGGACUUCUGUCCCCUCCCAGGCAUAAGAUGACAUCAUCA